rnacentral:rRNA from 1 species
CCUACGUGAGACUGCAGUGAGGAAUAUUGGUCAAUGGGCGGAAGCCUGAACCAGCCAAGUAGCGUGCGGGAUGAAGGCCCUACGGGUCGUAAACCGCUUUUGCACGGGGAUAACACCCUCCACUUGUGGAGGUCUUCAGGUACCGGUCGAAUAAGGGCAGGCUAAUUCCGUGCCAGCAGCCGCGGUGAUACGGAGGGCCCGAGCGUUAUCCGGAUUCAUUGGGCUAAAAGGGAGCGUAGGCGGGCGUUCAAUGCAGCUGUAAAAUCGCGCGGCUCAACCGCGCCCCGCAGUUGAAACUGGAAGCCUUGAGUGCACAACAGGCAGGCGGAAUUCGUGGUGUAGCGGUGAAAUGCAUAGAUAUCACGAGGAACCCCGAUUGCGAAGGCAGCCUGCCGGGGUGCGACUGACGCUGAGGCUCGAAGGUGCGGGUAUCAAACAGGAUUAGAUACCCCGGUAGUC